rnacentral:rRNA from 1 species
AUGCAAGUCGAGGGGUAACGGAAGUAGCUUGCUACUAGACGACGACCGGCGCACGGGUGAGUAACGCGUAUGUAAUCUGCCUUGUACAGAGGGAUAGCCCAGAGAAAUUUGGAUUAAUACCUCAUAGUAUUACCGAAUCGCAUGAUUUGGUAAUUAAAGCUCCGGCGGUACAAGAUGAACAUGCGUGACAUUAGCUAGUUGGUAAGGUAACGGCUUACCAAGGCUACGAUGUCUAGGGGUUCUGAGAGGAUGAUCCCCCACACUGGUACUGAGACACGGACCAGACUCCUACGGGAGGCAGCAGUGAGGAAUAUUGGUCAAUGGACGCAAGUCUGAACCAGCCAUCCCGCGUGAAGGAUGACUGCCCUAUGGGUUGUAAACUUCUUUUAUAUGCAAAUAAACCUACUUUCGUGAAAGUAGCUGAAGGUAGCAUAUGAAUAAACACCGGCUAACUCCGUGCCAGCAGCCGCGGUAAUACGGAGGGUGUAAGCGUUAUCCGGAUUUAUUGGGUUUAAAGGGUACGUAGGCGGUAAUAUAAGUCAGUGGUGAAAUCCUGCAGCUCAACUGUAGAACUGCCAUUGAAACUGU